UCUUAAAAAUCUUCCAGCCUGAAUUCCUGCUGCUCUGAAAACAAACAUCAUUGUAACCAGCCAGGACAUGGGCUACUAAAGGUUCUGUAAGAAGAUGAUCAGCGUUUGAUUCAUCAACAACUUACCUCGAAAUAUAUAAUGCAGAAAUGACAGUAUUGGUGUCUGCACGGUAUCCGCAAAACGAGUUUUCAUGACCAUGGUCCUGUUCCGGAGGCUGUCAGAUCCUGCUGCCCUCCAUCCUGGAACCCUGUAAGCAUAUUGCUUCCCAUCAAUGCUUCGCUGCGCUUCUGCUUAAGCGUUCUAGAAGUUCCUUGCUUUAGGGCUGCAGGCUUAUGAGAGAAAGCGUAAUCAUUAUAGGGAAAGGAAUUGAAAGGAACGUGGUACAAAGAUACUUGUAGUCCAUAACUAUAAUAAUAGCAAUUAUAAUCUGUUGAUUGUUUAAAUGAAGAAGCGGUUAUGGCCUAACCUAAGAGUGCUUUAUGUUGUUUAUGAUUUUAUAUUGGGGAAGUUUAAUCCUUGAUGCCAUAAAAAAUAUAUAAGUGUACAAAUCAGAAUUGUGGUCCAUUAACUAUGCUACUUGGUUUCAAUUAAAAUACUUACCUAUUACUUAAAUCAAUUGUAAGUAACGAUACACCUAUAAUAAUAAAGGUUUUAAACGAUAAUUUAUUAUAAGCCCCACUUCACAAUAAUUACAAAGACAGACGAUAGAUACUGACAAAAAUAACUCUGGUAAUCUAAUAUCGGCUAUAUUUAGGUUAAGCAAGCCAUUAUUCAUAAUUUACAA